rnacentral:rRNA from 1 species
UACGUAGGGAGCAAGCGUUGUCCGGAAUUAUUGGGCGUAAAGGGUGCGUAGGCGGCACUGCAAGUCAGAUGUGAAAUCCCCGGGCUUAACUCGGGAGUUGCAUUUGAAACUGCAGAGCUUGAGUGAAGAAGAGGUAAGUGGAAUUCCUAGUGUAGCGGUGGAAUGCGUAGAUAUUAGGAGGAACACCAGUGGCGAAGGCGACUUACUGGUCUUUUACUGACGCUGAGGCACGAAAGCGUGGGGAGCAAACAGGAUUAGAUACCCUGGUAGUCCACGCUGUAAACGAUGGAUACUAGGUGUGGGGGAGAUACAACCUCUGUGCCGGAGCUAACGCAAUAAGUAUCCCGCCUGGGGAGUACGGUCGCAAGGCUGAA